UGGGGAAUUUUGGACAAUGGGCGAAAGCCUGAUCCAGCAAUGCCGCGUGUGUGAAGAAGGCCUUCGGGUUGUAAAGCACUUUUGUCCGGAAAGAAAUCCUUGGCUCUAAUACAGUCGGGGGAUGACGGUACCGGAAGAAUAAGCACCGGCUAACUACGUGCCAGCAGCCGCGGUAAUACGUAGGGUGCAAGCGUUAAUCGGAAUUACUGGGCGUAAAGCGUGCGCAGGCGGUUUGCUAAGACCGAUGUGAAAUCCCCGGGCUCAACCUGGGAACUGCAUUGGUGACUGGCAGGCUAGAGUAUGGCAGAGGGGGGUAGAAUUGCCACGUGUAGCAGUGAAAUGCGUAGAGAUGUGGAGGAAUACCGAUGGCGAAGGCAGCCCCCUGGGCCAAUA
rnacentral:rRNA from 1 species